UCCUUCGCCUCCAACCUAAAACCCUCCAACCUAAAACCCUUCGCCUCCAAUUGUGAUUCUCAAAUUCAUAUUCUCAUAUAAAUUUUCUAUUUCAAGUGAUAUAUUACUUCUUAAUGGGAUCGAAUAUAUGGCUCGAUUUAUCCUCUUGAUUUAAUUGAUUGAUGUAGUUGGGGUUCAAAUCAACCUGUCAAAUUCUUGAAUCCUAACAAUCGUAUUCUGUGCAAGAUGCCAAUAGAAGUUUGUAAAAGUCGUAAUCCUGCGUUUAACUGGGAUGAAAUUAGGAUUCUCUGCUCAAUGCAAAGGAAAUAGUCCGAAGACUUGUAGCUGUUAUGUGAAACAACCAUGGAUCUGUUAUCCAGAGUCUGAUUUGUUUAUGCUGAGGAGUAUUAUUGGAUUCGGAUUCCAUUCUACUAAACCAUCUACAACUUUUUCUCAUUGGUUAGAUCUUAGUUUUGAUAAAAAGUACAAGAACAUUGCAAGCAGACACAUGUUAUUGUUCACUUUUGUUUUCUGGUUCUAGAUGAUUUGGCUGCUUAUUCCUCUUCAUAAUAAUGUGGAACCUUGUUUUUUGUUGCGAAAUGUUGCAGCUUUACCAGAAUGGUAUGCAGCAUGCAGCAGGGGGCUUGUAUAUUGGUUAAUCUUUUAAUCUUACUACUUCCAAAUAUUCACGAACUUGCAGUAAGACGUGUUUCUUUUAAUCAAGUUUCCUUCUCUAGAUGUGAUUAUAUACGUGGCUGCGGUGCUGAAAGAUUGUGAGGGGGGGUACUAGAGCCUGGGAGGUUUUCGUGCAUGCAAGUAUGUUGUUUGGCACCAUUUUAUACAGUUGCAAUCAACAUUGUACUGUUGGGUAUGGAUGCUGGUCAAGUGAGGCGAUAUUAUUAGCCCGUAUUUUUUGAGCUAGGCAAACUCAGAAACUUUUGGAGUCCUGAUAACAAAGCUUUUGAUAACAAUUGUACUGAGUUUGUUGGUUUUUUAAGCUCAUAAGUAAGUUGCCUUAACUUGUUGUACACAGUUUUGAUGAUUUAGAAUGAUAUAGUUGUUAGGCAGGUUAUCAUGUUAAUGAAUGUUAAGCUUAGCUUAUUGAGAAUUUGAUCUUGUUUCUAGCUUCACUUGAUUAUUGGCUACUUCUAUGAGUUGGAUGACAUUUAUUAAUUACCUUAUGAAGACAUGCAAUUGAUGUAGGAGACAAACCAAAAUCCGAAUGAGUAGCCUAAGUCACAUGCACUCGUGAUAUAUGCAUUGAUUCGUUGUUCGUAUCACUACCUUUCAUCCAUUGAAGAGGCUGCCGAGGAGGAAAUUCAGAAAACAACAGAAGAAGAACAAACACUUUCCCAUGUACAGGAGCACAAAAAGUGUUUAAGUCAAAGUCUCGUUAUUGGGUUUUGGAGGAGGAAUAACAAUUAAAAGAAAUAUCAGGACCAGAGGGUAGAACUUCAAUCUAAGUUGAAUCAAAAUCAUGCUCUUACCAAUCAUGUGGAUACGGUACAAGAAGAAAACAAUGCACUUAAGAGUCGCAUGAGUUCAGUUGAAGAUGAGCUUAAUGAGCUUGAAGCAUUUAAAGAAGUGUUCUUACAACGCUUUUCAAGGGAUGGCACUCCAAGAGAGAACACUUCAAUUAGUUAGAUUUUAUUUGUUCUUUUCGAUUGAACAAGAAUUACUUAUCUUUUUAGCUUUUUUAGAAUUUAAAGACAAGCUAGGGGAUGUGAUUUUUGAUUUCACAUAACUUGAAAUUCUAUUGUCAAAAAUCUUUUGAGUAAUGAAAUUUUCAUUUGUUUUAA